rnacentral:lncRNA from 13 species
AUGGAGCAGUCAGAUAGUCACAGUAGCAUGAAUGCCUCAUUCUGACAACACCUGAGCACUGAUAAGACUGCUGCUGGUUUCAGAGUCCCAGAAAUAGAUCCCGAUCCACCAACAGGCCAAUAAUGAUGACGUCUGGGUGAUGGUUGGUUUGUUAUCUUAUUCAUUUUUUUAUUCUAUUCAAUGUGCAUGAGUUUAUCCUCUUUUCUGAAAUCGACACCUAAUAAAAUGUUGUGGCUCCUUCCUUGUUUUGUUUUUUUGUUUGUUUGUUUAUAUCUGAGUGCCCUAAGAUAGAAAGUGCAAUAAGAGAAGUGUAGCUAGGGAGGUCUCUCCCAGGAGAAAGUAUACAUCGUAGGAAACACUAGCUGAUUUGGUGCAGAGGGGUUGCUUGUUCAUAUGAUGCGCAGACAUUUUAGGAUACUACACAAAUGUAGGCCUAUGCACAGGCACCUUUCUUUCAGAAUAGUUGUGUUAAUAAUGAGAAUGAAUUACAGCACACAUACUGUAUAUGACUUGGUUGUCUUUGUAUUUCUAAAUUAUUAUUAAUCUGUUAUUUUUCAAAAAAUGUACUAAUAUAAAUGUUGGAUCUAGAAUGAGGAUCUGUUUAGCAAGAAUAUUUGGUACUAAUAGGGUUAAUGAGGUCUGCCCUGACUGAGAGAGAUGGAGGCAGGAUGAGAGGGAGUUAUUGCUGCAAGCAGAGAGCAGGAUGAGAAAGGGGGAGGAGGGAGAGAGUGCCUGUCUGCCGGUGAGUGUGUGUGUAUAUGCACGCGACGCGCCCCAAUGUGUGUGUACAUGUGCACAGCACGCCUCUGUGUGUGUGUGCGCUGACACCUGGUGCUUUCUUUCCUCUCUGCUUGCUCACACUGAGGAGAGCUCUCUCCUUGUCUGGGCCAUGCUUUACCUCUCCUGCUCUCUUUCCCUCUUUUCCCUACCUCUAUUUCACCCCUCUCUUUUUUCUACCCCUUCAGCAUUCCGUCCUCCUCAGUCUCCCUCUCUCUUUCCUUUGUUUUGGAUCUUUCUUACUAUGGUGCAGGAUUAUUGAAUUGCCUGGGAAGCCAAGACGUUGGACUGACAAGAUGGAGGGAGUGAGGACCUGCCAGAACCCCGAUCGCCCAGUGUAGAGCACCACCACCACCUGAGCCACACCGGUCAAGGUAGGUAGUUACACUACUGGGUGUACUCUAUUCUGUGGACCAAAUCCCCUCUCGCUCUCUUCUCCCCUCCCCUCUUUCCCCCUACUUUUCCCAAUGCAUUUUUCUUAGCCACAUCUGACCAUAAUAUGAAAUCAUGUUUCUUCAUUCAUCCGUCUCUUCUUUCUUCCUUCCUUUAUGCUCAUACUAUUUUCCUGCCUCUCUUUCCUCUCUUCCCUGGAGCAACAGAGAGGGCAUGAGGCUGUUUAAAGGGCUGUAUUUUAUAUGAGUUAACAACAGAGGAUUUAAUAACUUCUAGAGAAGUGAAGUAAUCAUUUUGUGGAGAGAGUACACUGUAUGAAUUUUUAUGUUCCUGUAAAUGUGUCUGAAUCUGUUAUCCCUGGAAGUAUUCUCUGGGCUGAAAGAGAAACAAUAUUGGCUAUUGUGUCUGUCAACAAUAUACAGUAGAUGUUAUAGUCUACAAUUCUUGAGUUCCGCUUCCGUAUGACUAUUUUAGUCCAUAUGAUUUGCCCAUUGGUAUCCUUGCUCUUUUCGAGCUGUAUGCUUCUAUGAGUGGGUGUGUUUUGUUCUGUGAAGUGGCUCUAACGCCCUUCAAAAAUUCCUGUCUGUCUCAACAAUUCAACAAGUAGCACUCAAAAUCACCCCUAUCCUUUUGUUCUGAAGUUUUUCGGGAGCUAGGCCAUUUACCAGGUCAAUGUAGCUACAGUACCUCUCGUCUUCUAUCCCCUCACCCUCCCCCCAGACCCUUGGCUCACAGAAAACUUUUCUCGGCUCUCAGACAUUUGUGUAAAGCUGUUAAGGAGAGAAAAGACAACGUGUUCCCUAAAAGGCCGCUUCUCUUGAAUUACCCUCUGGUGUGCAUUCACACCCUGCAGAUAGACAGACAAACAUGAGGGGAUUGUCAUGCUGAGGGAUCUGACCAAACCACGGCUGCUGCUACAGUACAUGCCUCCCUGGCUCAAUGGAUUUAGUCUCUCAGGCAGAGCUGAAACCACAGAGAUGGGGUAUAGUGUCGGUAUGCUGUAAGCAGGCCCUGGCUGUGUCUGUCUAUAUCACAGCCUGGCUGUCACACACUAUGGGGACUACUGUGGAGUUGUCACUUAAUAGCUCCUGCUGUCUGCUGUCUGCUAUGCUAGCUGAUGUUAUGUGAAGGUGUUGGCCAGUUGGUGAGACAGCUCUGUCUGUCUGGUGGGACGGGGCCGUCUGGGCUGUGAUUCAGUGUUGAGGGAGAAAAUGGCUGUAGAGGGUUUUAUACAGAUAUGUUAGUGUGCCAGGGAAUGUGAGAAUAAAACUUGUGACAAACAGAACCUGUGAUAUUUAGAGGGAGGUGUUGCUGUGGUUUAGUGAUUGCUGCUGUGCUCUUUCAGAAAUUCAGCUCCCUUAUGGGUUGGUUGUCUUUAGAUAAUGGUUGCACUCACAUCUCUAUUCUAGCUACAUAUCUCUGAUGGUUAGACAAAGUUUCUGUGUUAUAUCAGAGAUGACGGGUUUCUGGAACAUUGUUAUUGAGGGAAACAGCGAGGCAUCCUGUCAUGUAAGCAGCAUGUGGUGCUUGUCUGCCUGCAGGACUAUUAUCACUGCUGGGUCAAGCCAGGCAGAUCCCAGUCAAUACCUCAGCAUCAUCACAACAUGGGUCACUCUCCAUGUUUCCACAUUCACUUCACUUUACCCUGGACACUGUCAGAAAUCGUACAUGUAGAGAAGAAACUACUUCCUAUGAACACCCUACCCAGCAAACCAAAAUUGGUUCUGUGAAAGUUCCCUGAACAUUCAUCAGGUCUCUGCAAAUGUCCUCAUAACACAAAAACGGUCUAGUCGUGCUGAUGAUUAAAUAAUGUUUGUAUAAAACAUUAGCCAGAUGUUGCAAGACAUUUCCGAGAACAAAUUAAAUGUGUUCUUUAAAGAUUCCCAGAAUGUUUCAUUAGGUUGUGGGAACAGUCUGGUGUUAACAUUGUGGGGACAUCACAAAAGAUAUGUUCCCAAAACACAAACUGUCCACUUGUGCAGAUGAUUCUACAAUGUUUCUUUUAGGUUGCAAAAAACAUUCACAACACAUUUUGCUUUUCUUUAAAGUUUCCCAGUGGGAAUAUUGUGGGGAUUUGACAAGAGAUAGGUUCCCAAAACGCUAAAACUGCCCAGUUGUGCUGACAUGCAGAUAAUGUGUGUAUCAAGGUGCACUAAACAUUCCUUUGAUGUUGCAAGAAUGUCGACAUAACAGGCUUUCUAAGUUCUUUAAAAGUUUCCAGAACAUGUAAUUAGGUUGUGGGAACAGUGUGGAUACAUUACAAGAGAUGACAUUCA